GAAAUGCGAUAAGUAAUGUGAAUUGCAGAAUUCAGUGAAUCAUCGAAUCUUUGAACGCACCUUGCGCUCCUUGGUAUUCCUUGGAGCAUGCCUGUUUGAGUAUCAUGAAAUCUUCAAAGUAAAUCUUUUGUUAACUCAAUUGGUUUCUACUUUGGUAUUGGAGGUCUUUGCAGCUUCACACCUGCUCCUCUUUGUUCAUUAGCUGGAUCUCAGUGUUAUGCUUGGUUCCACUCGGCGUGAUAAGUUAUCUAUCGCUGAGGACACUGUAAAAGGUGGCCAAGGUAAAUGCAGAUGAACCGCUUCUAAUAGUCAUUGACUUGGACAAUACUUUUAUGAUCUGAUCUCAAAUCAGGUAGGACUACCCGCUGAACUUAAGC
rnacentral:misc_RNA from 1 species